UACGUAGGGUCCGAGCGUUGUCCGGAAUUAUUGGGCGUAAAGGGCUCGUAGGCGGCACUGUUAGUCAGGCGUGAAAGUCCUGGGCUCAACCUGGGAACUGCGCUUGAUACGGCAGAGCUAGAGGAUGGAAGAGGGUCGCGGAAUUCCUGGUGUAGCGGUGAAAUGCGCAGAUAUCAGGAGGAACACCGGUGGCGAAGGCGGGUCUCUGGGCCGAUACUGACGCUGAGGAGCGAAAGCGUGGGGAGCGAACAGG
rnacentral:rRNA from 1 species